rnacentral:rRNA from 1 species
AGUGAACGCUGGCGGUAGGCCUAACACAUGCAAGUCGAACGGCAGCACAGUAAGAGCUUGCUCUUACGGGUGGCGAGUGGCGGACGGGUGAGGAAUACAGCGGCAUCUACUUUUUCGUGGGGGAUAACGUAGGGAAACUUACGCUAAUACCGCAUACGACCUACGGUUGAAAGCAGGGGAUCUUCGGACCUUGCGUGAUUGAAUGAGACGAUGUCGGAUUAGCUAGUUGGCGGGGUAAAGGCCCACCAAGGCGACGAUCCGUAGCUGGGCUGAGAGGAUGUUCAGCCACACUUGAACUGAGACACGAUCCAGACUACUGCGGGAGGCAGCAGUGGGGAAUAUUGGACAAUGGGCGCAAGCCUGAUCCAGCCGUACCGCGUGGGUGAUGAAGACCUUCGGGUUGUAAAGCCCUUCUGUUGGGAAAGAACAGCAGCAGGUUAAUACCCCGCUGUUCUGACGGUACCCAAAGAAUAAGCACCGGCUAACUUCGUG